rnacentral:rRNA from 1 species
UACGUAGGUGGCAAGCGUUGUCCGGAAUUAUUGGGCGUAAAGAGCUCGUAGGCGGUCUGUCGCGUCGAAUGUGAAAACCCGGGGCUCAACCCCGGGCCUGCAUUCGAUACGGGCAGACUAGAGUUCGGUAGGGGAGUCUGGAAUUCCUGGUGUAGCGGUGAAAUGCGCAGAUAUCAGGAGGAACACCGGUGGCGAAGGCGGGACUCUGGGCCGAUACUGACGCUGAGGAGCGAAAGCGUGGGGAGCGAACAGG